rnacentral:rRNA from 1 species
UACGAAGGGGGCUAGCGUUGUUCGGAAUUACUGGGCGUAAAGCGCACGUAGGCGGAUCGAUCGGUCAGGGGUGAAAUCCCAGGGCUCAACCCUGGAACUGCCUUUGAUACUGUCGAUCUGGAGUAUGGAAGAGGUGAGUGGAAUUCCGAGUGUAGAGGUGAAAUUCGCAGAUAUUCGGAGGAACACCAGUGGCGAAGGCGGCUCACUGGACCGGUAUUGACGCUGAGGUGCGAAAGCGUGGGGAGCAAACAGG